UAUCUGCACCUGUACCCAAGCCUGCAAGCAUGGCUGUCUCAGUGCUGCGGCUGACGAUCGUCCUGGGACUAUUCAUCUUGAUCCUGACUUGCCAGGCCGAUGACAAGCCAGAUGACCAGCCAGAUGCCUCAGACAAAAAAACAGAGCCAGAAUUCCCCAAAUUCCUAAACCUUUUGGGCACAGAGAUCAUUGAGAAUGCAGUGGAGUUCAUCCUUCGCUCCAUGACGAGGAGCACGUAAGCACUGAGACAGACCUUGCUUUUGUCCAGUUCGCUUUUGAGGAUUUAUGGAAUUUGAUGAUAAACAAGGAGAACAUUCAACAAAGUGACUUCCCAGGACACACCCCACAAGGUUCCAGAAUAACCCAAGGGCAGCCAAUCCUGCUUUUCCAGUUCUGCUUCAGGAGUCCUCCAGAGCAGAGGCCCCAAAAGCAGCUCCAAGCAAGUUCUCAGGAUUCAGGACCUGGUUCAACCAAACACAACUAUUUUGAACAUCCUGACUUAGCAUUCUUGCCUCUAGAAAUCAGAAUAAAUGUGUCUUCUUAAUGUCACA